rnacentral:rRNA from 1 species
CAGCAGCCGCGGGAAUACGGAGGGGGCUAGCGUUGUUCGGAAUUACUGGGCGUAAAGCGCAUGUAGGCGGCUUUGUAAGUUAGAGGUGAAAGCCCGGAGCUCAACUCCGGAAUUGCCUUUAAGACUGCAGAGCUAGCAGGUGAGAGAGGUGAGUGGAAUUCCGAGUGUAGAGGUGAAAUUCGUAGAUAUUCGGAAGAACACCAGUGGCGAAGGCGGCUCACUGGCUCAUACUGGACGCUGAGGUGCGAAAGCGUGGGGAGCAAACGGGAUUAGAUACCCGUGUAGUCCCUGUCUCUUAUAC